rnacentral:rRNA from 1 species
UCAUCCCUACGGGAGGCAGCAGUAGGGAAUAUUGCUCAAUGGGGGAAACCCUGAAGCAGCAACGCCGCGUGGAGGAUGAAGGUUUUAGGAUUGUAAACUCCUUUUGUUAGAGAAGAUGAUGACGGUAUCUAACGAAUAAGCACCGGCUAACUCCGUGCCAGCAGCCGCUGUAAUACGGAGGGUGCAAGCGUUACUCGGAAUCACUGGGCGGAAAGAGUGCGUAGGCGGGGUAAUAAGUCAGAUGUGAAAUCCUGUAACUUAACUACAGAACAGCAUUUGAAACUGGUAGUCUGGAGUGUGGGAGG